AACAGUUUUUGCGUCCACCAAAUUGUGCACACGAACCCAAAGGGAAAACCAACCGCGGUGUGCAAGUGAGAGUAGCAGCAGAGACUUUUGGACAUACACAUUGUUUUAGUCAUGCAUGAGUAACUGGUACCAGGAAGGUGCACCCCUGCACUCACAGUUGUGUCCUCAGCACAAACACAAUGAGACAGCCCAAUCAGCUGCUGGUGUCGGGUUUCAAGGAGCUACAAGAGAGGGAGUGGUGGGGAGGAGAGACACAUAGAGCACAAUUGGCCCUUUUCACGUGACAUCAAGCCACUCAUGUGACUCCCCCUUCGCCAUGAUGGACAGCAAAAAGACCGUUUACACCCACUGAAACUCCAGUGAAGCUAGUCAAAACAAGCCAGUUUGUAGCCUUUUAUCACUUUUAUUUAGUUGAUUUGACAGUAAAAUGGUUUUAUCUUGCUGCGUGGUUGGCUGCACUAAGAGACAAGGGCGUAAACUCAACUCUUUUUUUUUUUGUUUUUUUAAGAACUUUGAUGGAGACUGAGGACGGAGACGAACUGCAGCGAUCAAUCAAGCGGACUAGCAGCCCUCAGAUUUGCAGCGAACAUGUUUUUACCGGACUUUCCAACAACAGCUGACUUCACAUCGCGCUGAGUGACAUCAUCACGAGAUAGUGCGGUGGUGGAAGCACAGUUUACCAGCAGAAGCAACAGGCAGCAGCAUGUGGAGCUGCUCCUUCAGCCAACAUUCCUGUGAAAUGUUUAUGGAGACAAAUGUGGAGACAAGCAGUAAGUCAGCCGGAGCGCAGCGACAGAGAGGCGAUGCUGAUUUUGCUCGGCUCUUGGAGAGUCGAACCUUAAGUUUUGUGUAAACUUUCUACCAAGUUUCGUUUUGCUUCAACACGUGAAUAAAGUGCACACUCCCAGCUGAAUCUUGAAUUUGAAUUUUGCACUUUGAUUCUUUUCUGAUAUGAAAAUAAAGUGUGAACAGCU